rnacentral:rRNA from 1 species
GACGAACGCUGGCGGCGUGCUUAACACAUGCAAGUCGAACGGAAAGGCCCUGCUUUUGUGGGGUGCUCGAGUGGCGAACGGGUGAGUAACACGUGAGUAACCUGCCCUUGACUUUGGGAUAACUUCAGGAAACUGGGGCUAAUACCGGAUAGGAGCUCCUGCUGCAUGGUGGGGGUUGGAAAGUUUCGGCGGUUGGGGAUGGACUCGCGGCCUAUCAGCUUGUUGGUGGGGUAGUGGCUUACCAAGGCUUUGACGGGUAGCCGGCCUGAGAGGGUGACCGGCCACAUUGGGACUGAGAUACGGCCCAGACUCCUACGGGAGGCAGCAGUGGGGAACAUUGCACAAUGGGCGGAAGCCUGAUGCAGCAACGCCGCGUGCGGGAUGACGGCCUUCGGGUUGUAAACCGCUUUCGCCUGUGACGAAGCGUGAGUGACGGUAAUGGGUAAAGAAGCACCGGCUAACUACGUG